rnacentral:rRNA from 1 species
AACGAACGCUGGCGGCGUGCCUAACACAUGCAAGUCGAACGGAUUGAAGGGGCUUGCUCCUUCAGUUAGUGGCGCACGGGUGAGUAACGCGUAGAUAAUCUGCCUGAUGAUCUGGGAUAACAGUUCGAAAGGACUGCUAAUACCGGAUAAGCCCACGUGGUCUUUGGACCGUGCGGGAAAAGGGGGGGACCUUCGGGCAUUCUGUCAUCAGAUGAGUCUGCGUACCAUUAGCUAGUUGGUAGGGUAAUGGCCUACCAAGGCUACGAUGGUUAGCUGGUUUGAGAGAAUGAUCAGCCACACUGGAACUGAGACACGGUCCAGACUCCUACGGGAGGCAGCAGUGGGGAAUUUUGCGCAAUGGGCGAAAGCCUGACGCAGCAACGCCGCGUGAGUGAUGAAGGCUUUCGGGUCGUAAAGCUCUGUCGAGGGGAAAGAAGUGUAUUGUGGUUAAUACCCGCGAUACUUGACGGUACCCCUAAAGGAAGCACCGGCUAACUCCGUGCCAGCCGCCGCCGUAAGAC